rnacentral:misc_RNA from 1 species
AGAAAGCAUAAUGGGAUUAUGCCUAAAAGGUUUAGUGGAAGAGAGACAAUUAUCUGAGUAUACACUGUUCCACAAGAACACAUGCUUAGAGGCAAAAACCGGAAUGAUAAGGGGAUCGAUUUGGCAUGCUUGUUAGGGAGAUCAAUGAUCACCUAUUUCAUGUGGAAGUUAUACAUACUUAAAAUACUACAGUAGGUAUCAACAUACACAAUUCUUGUAUACGCGGAAGACCAAUUGCAAGGCCCACAUUUUCAGGAUACAGCAGAAUCAAAAGUCAAGCUUCACCCUAGAUCAGGAUUCCACUAUUUAAAAGCACAGACCCGAAAGAACAAGUAACAAUGUUCAAUGUGAGUUCAGGCGUUUUAAUUUACAGACGGCAGGGUAAUCAGCUUUGUCCCUCGAAAUAGGUUCUUAGUAAGCCUGAUCAAUCAGAAGGCAGAAGUCCCCACUGAAGAGUACCCAGCGGCCUUGAGAUCUUUCAAAGUGCUUGAUAACCAGUCUAGUCCCUCAUAUAGACCAUCCCCUUUAAGAGCACAUGCACCUUGUAUAUGCCAUUUCCGGUUUUUAAGAUCAUAAAGACCGAGGCCUUCACACACUUCCAUUGGAGUCAUUGCUCCUUUCAUGUCCUGCUUGUUAGCGAAAACCAAGAUAACAGCAUUAAGCAUAAAUGGAUCUCUAAUGAUCGCCUGAAACUCUUGCUUUGCCUUUCCGAUUCUCUCUCGAUCCAAAGAGUCAACGACGUAAAUCAGUCCAUCUGUGUUAUUGAAAUAAUGCCUCCAAAGUGGUCUUAGUUUCUCUUGUCCUCCAACGUCCCACACAGUAAAAACCACAUUCUUGUACUGCACUUUUUCUACAUUGAAACCAAUAGUAGGAACUGUAGACAGAACUUCUCCUAUAUGCAGCUUGUACAAUAUAGUUGUUUUCCCAGCCGCAUCCAG